CGGCAGCAGGGCUCCUGGAAGUCCUGCUUCUCAUUACUACUGUGGACUGGAGCCUCCCCAGAGCUCCCUGGGGUCCUUGGCCUGGGUGAAGAUGGAUGAAGAUCAGAUCCAGCAGCUGUGGGUAGAGGAGGGUCCAGGAAGCAGGCACAAAGAGAGGCCUCAACUGUCAGAACAUGUAAUAAACAUAACCAGCCAGAGGACUGAGGGGAGGCAGAAGGCACACAGUUAACCACUGCAGCAGAAAGUAGCAGAAAUGAAG
rnacentral:lncRNA from 1 species